rnacentral:sRNA from 1 species
ACGAUAUUCGCGUUUCUCUCUGCUUAGACGUGUUCAUCUGCGUAUGCUUUCAUUAGUGCGUGUUUCCUUCGUUUUACAUAAGUGCAAGGUUUCUCAAGCUGUAGGGUUGUCGUUUUAGUGCGUGUGGCGUCUUUGCUCCUUCGUUUCAGUUGUUGUUUUCAUAAGUACGUGUUACCUCAAGUUGUACGACUCCUUCAUUUCAAGGUUGUCGGUUUAGGUAAAUGACAACUCCUACUGAAGAUGAUAUUCCUUCUCCCAACCAAGCUAAAGGGAAGAAAGGUACAGUGAUUAUGAAGAUCGUUCAAGCUAGAAGUGAG